rnacentral:rRNA from 1 species
AGUGAACGCUGGCGGCGUGCUUAACACAUGCAAGUCGAACGAGAACGGGCUAUAGCUUGCUAUAGUUGUCAGCUAAGUGGCGCACGGGUGAGUAAUGUAUAGGUAAUAUGCCUCUUACUAAGGGAUAACAAAUGGAAACGUUUGCUAUACCUUAUACUCCUUAUUAACAGAAGUUAAUAAGGUAAAGAUUUAUUGGAAAGAGAUUAGCCUGUAUUGUAUCAGUUAGUUGGUGGGGUAAUGGCUUACCAAGACUGUGACACAUAACUGGUUUGAGAGGAUGAUCAGUCACACUGGAACUGAGACACGGUCCAGACUCCUACGGGAGGCAGCAGUGGGGAAUAUUGCACAAUGGACGAAAGUCUGAUGCAGCAACGCCGCGUGGAGGAUGACACAUUUCGGUGCGUAAACUCCUUUUAUAUGAGAAGAUAAUGACGGUAUUAUAUGAAUAAGCACCGGCUAACUCCGUGCCAGCAGCCGCCGUAA